rnacentral:rRNA from 1 species
GACCAUCUCCUAAGGCUAAAUACUCUCUAGUGACCGAUAGUGAACCAGUACCGUGAGGGAAAGGUGAAAAGCACCCCGGAAGGGGAGUGAAAUAGAACCUGAAACCGUGUGCUUACAAGUAGUCAGAGCCCGUUAAUGGGUGAUGGCGUGCCUUUUGUAGAAUGAACCGGCGAGUUACGAUUUGAUGCAAGGUUAAGCAGUAAAUGUGGAGCCGUAGCGAAAGCGAGUCUGAAUAGGGCGUUUAGUAUUUGGUCGUAGACCCGAAACCAGGUGAUCUACCCUUGGUCAGGUUGAAGUUCAGGUAACACUGAAUGGAGGACCGAACCGACUUACGUUGAAAAGUGAGCGGAUGAACUGAGGGUAGCGGAGAAAUUCCAAUCGAACCUGGAGAUAGCUGGUUCUCUCCGAAAUAGCUUUAGGGCUAGCCUCAAGUGAUGAUUAUUGGAGGUAGAGCACUGUUUGGACGAGGGGCCCCUCUCGGGUUACCGAAUUCAGACAAACUCCGAAUGCCAAUUAAUUUAACUUGGGAGUCAGAACAUGGGUGAUAAGGUCCGUGUUCGAAAGGGAAACAGCCCAGACCACCAGCUAAGGUCCCAAAAUAUAUGUUAAGUGGAAAAGGAUGUGGCGUUGCCCAGACAACUAGGAUGUUGGCUUAGAAGCAGCCAUCAUUUAAAGAGUGCGUAAUAGCUCACUAGUCGAGUGACACUGCGCCGAAAAUGUACCGGGGCUAAACAUAUUACCGAAGCUGUGGAUUGUCCUUUGGACAAUGGUAGGAGAGCGUUCUAAGGGCGUUGAAGCAUGAUCGUAAGGACAUGUGGAGCGCUUAGAAGUGAGAAUGCCGGUGUGAGUAGCGAAAGACGGGUGAGAAUCCCGUCCACCGAUUGACUAAGGUUUCCAGAGGAAGGCUCGUCCGCUCUGGGUUAGUCGGGUCCUAAGCUGAGGCCGACAGGCGUAGGCGAUGGAUAACAGGUUGAUAUUCCUGUACCACCUAUAAUCGUUUUAAUCGAUGGGGGGACGCAGUAGGAUAGGCGAAGCGUGCGAUUGGAUUGCACGUCUAAGCAGUAAGGCUGAGUAUUAGGCAAAUCCGGUACUCGUUAAGGCUGAGCUGUGAUGGGGAGAAGACAUUGUGUCUUCGAGUCGUUGAUUUCACACUGCCGAGAAAAGCCUCUAGAUAGAAAAUAGGUGCCCGUACCGCAAACCGACACAGGUAGUCAAGAUGAGAAUUCUAAGGUGAGCGAGCGAACUCUCGUUAAGGAACUCGGCAAAAUGACCCCGUAACUUCGGGAGAAGGGGUGCUCUUUAGGGUUAACGCCCAGAAGAGCCGCAGUGAAUAGGCCCAAGCGACUGUUUAUCAAAAACACAGGUCUCUGCUAAACCGUAAGGUGAUGUAUAGGGGCUGACGCCUGCCCGGUGCUGGAAGGUUAAGAGGAGUGGUUAGCUUCUGCGAAGCUACGAAUCGAAGCCCCAGUAAACGGCGGCCGUAACUAUAACGGUCCUAAGGUAGCGAAAUUCCUUGUCGGGUAAGUUCCGACCCGCACGAAAGGCGUAACGAUUUGGGCACUGUCUCAACGAGAGACUCGGUGAAAUCAUAGUACCUGUGAAGAUGCAGGUUACCCGCGACAGGACGGAAAGACCCCGUGGAGCUUUACUGUAGCCUGAUAUUGAAAUUCGGCACAGCUUGUACAGGAUAGGUAGGAGCCUUUGAAACGUGAGCGCUAGCUUACGUGGAGGCGCUGGUGGGAUACUACCCUAGCUGUGUUGGCUUUCUAACCCGCACCACUUAUCGUGGUGGGAGACAGUGUCAGGCGGGCAGUUUGACUGGGGCGGUCGCCUCCUAAAAGGUAACGGAGGCGCUCAAAGGUUCCCUCAGAAUGGUUGGAAAUCAUUCAUAGAGUGUAAAGGCAUAAGGGAGCUUGACUGCGAGACCUACAAGUCGAGCAGGGUCGAAAGACGGACUUAGUGAUCCGGUGGUUCCGCAUGGAAGGGCCAUCGCUCAACGGAUAAAAGCUACCCCGGGGAUAACAGGCUUAUCUCCCCCAAGAGUUCACAUCGACGGGGAGGUUUGGCACCUCGAUGUCGGCUCAUCGCAUCCUGGGGCUGUAGUCGGUCCCAAGGGUUGGGCUGUUCGCCCAUUAAAGCGGUACGCGAGCUGGGUUCAGAACGUCGUGAGACAGUUCGGUCCCUAUCCGUCGUGGGCGUAGGAAAUUUGAGAGGAGCUGUCCUUAGUACGAGAGGACCGGGAUGGACAUACCUCUGGUGUACCAGUUGUCGUGCCAACGGCAUAGCUGGGUAGCUAUGUGUGGACGGGAUAAGUGCUGAAAGCAUCUAAGCAUGAAGCCCCCCUCAAGAUGAGAUUUCCC